UACGGAGGGUGCAAGCGUUGCUCGGAAUUAUUGGGCGUAAAGGGUAGGUAGGUGGUCUCAUUUGUCUGGGGUGAAAGCCUUGAGCUUAACUCAAGAAGUGCCCCAGAAACGGUGAGACUGGAGUCCUGGAGAGGGUCGUGGAAUUCCCGGUGUAGCGGUGAAAUGCGUAGAUAUCGGAAGGAACAUCAGUGGCGAAAGCGGCUUCCUGGACCAGUACCGACGUUCAGGCACGAAAGCGUGGGGAGCAAACAGG
rnacentral:rRNA from 1 species